rnacentral:rRNA from 1 species
GACGAACGCUUGCGGCGUGCUUAACACAUGCAAGUCGAACGAAGAGCGAUGGAGGCUUGCUUCUAUCAAUCUUAGUGGCGAACGGGUGAGUAACGCGUAAUCAACCUGCCCUUCAGAGGGGGACAACAGUUGGAAACGACUCCUAAUACCGCAUACGAUCUAACCUCGGCAUCGAGGAUAGAUGAAAGGUGGCCACUACAUGUAAGCUAACAACGCAGGAGGGGGAUACGUCCGAUUAGCUAGUUGGAGGGGUAACGGCCCACCAAUGCGAUGAUCAGUCGCCGGUCUGAGAGGAUGCACGGCCACAUUGGGACUGAGACACGGCCCAGACUCCUACUGGAGGCAGCAGUGGGGAAACGUCCGACAUGGACGAAAGGCUGACGAAGCAACGCCGCGUGAGGGAUGACGGCCUUCGGGUUGUAAAGGUCGGUUUAUCGGGACGAAAGGCCUUCUUGCGAAUAGUGAGAAGGAUUGACGGUACCGGAAUAGAAAGCCAAGGCUAACUACGUG